UACGUAGGGUGCAAGCGUUAAUCGGAAUUACUGGGCGUAAAGCGUGCGCAGGCGGUUUGGUAAGACAGAUGUGAAAUCCCCGGGCUUAACCUGGGAAUUGCAUUUGUGACUGCCCGGCUAGAGUGUGUCAGAGGGGGGUAGAAUUCCACGUGUAGCAGUGGAAUGCGUAGAGAUGUGGAGGAAUACCGAUGGCGAAGGCAGCCCCCUGGGAUAACACUGACGCUCAUGCACGAAAGCGUGGGGAGCAAACAGG
rnacentral:rRNA from 1 species